AUAUUAAUAAGCGGAGGAAAAGAAAACAACUGUGAUUCCCUUAGUAAUGGCGAAUGAAACGGGAAGAGCCCAUCGUCGAAUCGCAAGUCGUUCUGGCUUUGUGAAAUGUGACGUUUGGGAGGGUCUUCCACAGCUCAGACGAUCAGUCAAAGUCCAACUUGACAGUGGCCACAGUCGUGAU
rnacentral:rRNA from 1 species